GUAGAGUUGCUGGUCGGUAGUUGGACUCGCAAUCCAAAGGUCAUCAGUUCGAAUCCCAGACUGGACG
rnacentral:tRNA from 1 species